CCAGGUUCGGGGCUCUCCGGAGAGAUAAUACCCCUACUCCUGCAUGUCUGAGCAUAUAUAUCUGGGGUGUACAUCGGGCAGUACAAAGCGCUCCUAGAGCUGUAUCUGGGGGCAGUGCCAUGGGCAUCUGACUCCAUAUAUGUGUGCACAAGGCACGCUUUAGUGGCCGGCCAUGAGCAUGGCCGUAUGUGUGCUUGGGCAUGCUUGCCCGUGGGAAUGGAUGGAUGGAUGGCUAGCUAGCUCUCUUGCUAGCUAGCUUGCUUGUGUGUGUACGUGUGAGUCCAUCCAUGGAUGGAUGGAUGUGUGUCUCCUUUUAUAGGAGAGGGUAGCUUUGCAUCUAAGCUAUGUGGAGGUAUGGGAGCAAGGCAUGGUGCAUGUCAUGCUUGUCCCCUAGGUCACUUCAUGAAUAGUGCCAGGGGACAAGUGACACUAUACAUGACGGUGUCGCGGUACGGUUGUCUUGUCUGCGGUAUGGCCGUCUCGUCGGGGUCUUGUCGAUGCCGGGUCGGACUGCAGUCGGCAGUCGGCUAGUCGGUGCAGUUGGUCAGCUGGCAGCCGGCCGGGUGGAGCAGUCGGACGGGGAGCCGGCAGGAGCGGCCGGGCAGUCGGACUGAGGGGCUUUGCUAGCCCCGAUGUCUUGAAAUAUUGUCUCGCCGUCUUCGGGAUACCCGUGUCCAAUUACUCCGACAGUAGCCCCCAAGCCUCCGGGCAACUUGGCAAAGUCGGGCGGAGGUUUUUUCGCGAGUGUUCAUGGAAAUGAUCAUGCAAAAAACAAAGUUAGUCCAUGCAGAUAUGUCAAAUGAUUGCUUUUUAGCACUGCAAGUUUUAUGCGGAGGGUGCCGACUCGGUUUCGUCCGAGCCCCCUUUAAUCUUUUUCAUGUUCCCUCCGCUCUUUGGCUUGUGCUCUCGCUUGCCGGACAGCCGCUCUGCGGUCUGUGGCUGAGAGUGGGCCGCGGAGUGGAGUGUACAAUACUCAGGCUCUGGGAGCGAAUUUAACCGAGUAGAUACUCAUAAAGAAAACGGUCGGGUCGCCCGAAGCGUUUUUCUUCCCGGACGUUUUUCGCGUGGGUGGCCUUCAGCGUUCACUCUUGCCAGUCGGACAGCCGCUCUGCGGUCUGUGACUAAGAGUGGGCUUUUCAUACCGUGCACGCUACUAAGCCGUCUGCGGGAACAAACGUCUCAGGCCAAGCGGCCAGCCCCCGGGCCAACUCUGGCUGGCGCCGGGGCAAACAGUGAUGCAACUGUAAUGAAAUGCGGAGAUACCCCCGAGCAUCGCUCGAGGUUAUCUGUGCUCUCGCGGUGAAAAAAAUCUGCAGGUGAGGAGCUCACAUUGGUUUUCGUGUAGCCGAGGCGGAGUUUGCCGAAGAGAGCCGGCGCACCCGCUGGGUGUAGCCUUCGAGCCCCCGAUCGCUCGAAGGAGGGUCCCGGCCGGUCAGGCUCGACCGGCCAGGCGGCGAGGCGUUUUGCAACGCCCUUUUUCUUCUUCCGCCGGCUGCUGGCAACCGGACAAAACUCUUCUCUUGUCUCCGUGGGGGCGCGCCAGCGCACCCACUGGGUGUAGCCCCCGAGAUUCGGGCCGACUGCUGAGCAGUCGGGCCGGAUCUUCCGGCAACGACUUUGUCUUCUUUCCUCGCGGGGGCGCGUCAGCGCACCCGCUGGGUGUAGCCCCCGAGAUUCGGGCCGACUGCUGAGCAGUCGGGCCGGAUCUCCCGGCGACUACUCUGUCUUCUCUCCUCGCGGGGGCGCGUCAUCGCACCCGCCGGGUGUAGCCCCCGAGACUCGGGCCGAGGUUCGACCAGCCAGGCGUCGAGGCGGACCGGCAGGCCAGGUCGCGUCCGAGUGACGAAGCAGGCGGACGGAUAGACGGAGUUUUUCCUUUUCUUUGUCCCAGCCGACCUCUUCUUUCCUUCUCUCUCUUCUUUUUUUUUGCCGGCUUGACUUUUCUUCUUUCUCUUUUGCUCCAGCCGGCAGAGGAGCUUGCACAGCGCAGUCCGCACGGGCGUGGCCAGCCGACCUGCGGGAGGAGCCGGCUAGCCGGGAUGCGGGCGGGGCCGGCAAGCGGCCGGGUCGCCGGGCGGGGCCGGCACGUGGCGGAGCCGGCCGGGUGGCGACGGAGACGGCAGGCGGCGGAGCCAGUCGUCCGAGUUGGGGGGAGCCGUCAGGCCGGGUCACCGGUGAAGCCGGCGCGGCGAGGGCUGAAGGAGCCGGCGCGCGGCCAGAGUCGGCGGGGCGACGCGAGGCGAUGCGGGCGAAGCGGCGCGACCGCGCGGAGGCCGGCCCGUGGGGCGGCGAGUCGGCAGGCGAUGAGCGAGGGGAGCCGGUGCGGGCUUGGGGCACUCGGCCGCAUGGAGGAGCGACGAGGCGGACGCCGGCCAGCGGGGCAAGGCGGCCGAAGCAAGGCGAAGCCGGCCCGCGGGAGCCGGCGGGCGGGCGAGGCGGCGAGUCGGCGCGGGGGGAGCCGAACCCGGGAUGCGCGGAGCCGGCCGGGCCGGGUCGCGCGGAGGGCGGGAGGCCGGCGCGCGCGAAGCUGGACGGGUGGGGGAGUCGGCGCGCGCACAGCCGCGGGAGGCCGGGUGCUGGAUGGCGACGCGAAGUCGGCGCACGCGGGGUCGGAGUCAUAUGUUGGAGCCGGCCAGGCGGGACGCGGACCCGGCACGCGGAGCAGGCGGCCCGGGCUCACGGAGCCGGCGCGGGACAGCCGCGGGAGACGGCCGGAGUAGCUCGAGGGCGGCCAGGCGGACCGCAAGCGCGGGACCGGAGGCGGGCAGGACGUCGGCCGGCCGAACUGGCGCGCGGCCGCGGGGGGCCAAGCCGGCACGCGUGUAAGGAGGCGGCAGGGCGUGGUGGUCGCCACGUCCGGGUGCGGACGCCGGGCGCGGGAGGGCCCCAGGUGGCGACGAGAGGCCGGACGCGGGGGUAGCCGCGGAGCUGCAGGGAGCCUGUGCGGGGUUGGAGCAGCGAGGUGGAGCUUGUGGGCGUCGAGAGCUGCAGGGCAGCAGCGGAGCAGCCCGCGGUGGUGCGGGCGGACGGGCAGCCGCGCUGGUGGAGGAGCAGGCGUUCAGCCGCUACUGGCGCUUGGGAUGGAGACGAGCAAAGUCGUUCGAGGCAGGAAUAGCUACAGCGAGGCAGCAUUGCCAUGGUUUGGAAGUGUUUGCUUCGCCUUGACUAAUGCGUGGAUAGUGUAUGAGUGGUAUAUGACCAUGGUUUGACUCGCAUCCGGCCAAUAUACGGGUAGUGUGGCUGCGUUUUUCGGCCAGAGCAAGGCAUAAUGCGGAGGGGAGCAGACGCGAGCGACGUGGCACGGCGCGCGCACCGAUACGGCCGACCGAAGCGAGGCACCGCACGCGCGGCGCGUGUGCGGACGGACGAUCGGCGUUGCAAUGGUGAUGAUGACGGAGGCGGCGAGGCCGACGACGAGGACGUGCCGUCCCGCGCGGCCGCUCCGGGGGCAGGUCGAAGUCGAGCCCCCGAGCGCUACCGGAGAGACGGCGCGACGCCGCGGCGGUGAUGGCGAAGAUGGUCCCGACGGCGAGGACGCGCCGCCCCUCGCGGCCAUUCCGAGGGUGUGUCGAUAUCGAGCCCUCGACCGCUAUCGGAGGGACGGCGCGACGCCGCGGUGAUGAUGACGAAGGCGAGGCCUACGGCAAGGACGCGCCGCCCCUCGCGGCCAUUCCGAGGGUGUGUCGAUAUCGAGCCCUCGACCGCUAUCGGAGGGACGGCGCGACGCCGCGGUGGUGAUGGCGAAGAUGGUCCCGCCCGGACUGCGAAACCAGCAUCAGCGCGGUAGCAUAGUACCGCCCCACGGUGGGCGCCAACUGUCGUGGUAUUCUCACGGGGGGGUGUGAGGCGACAGAUGCCACAAGGGCUUUGUGUGAGGGUAAGACUGCUGCUGAUAGGCCCGGGAGCGGGUAUGCGAGUAGCACGCGCUAGUUUACCCAGGUUCGGGGCUCUCCGGAGAGAUAAUACCCCUACUCCUGCAUGUCUGAGCAUAUAUAUCUGGGGUGUACAUCGGGCAGUACAAAGCGCUCCUAGAGCUGUAUCUGGGGGCAGUGCCAUGGGCAUCUGACUCCAUAUAUGUGUGCACAAGGCACGCUUUAGUGGCCGGCCAUGAGCAUGGCCGUAUGUGUGCUUGGGCAUGCUUGCCCGUGGGAAUGGAUGGAUGGAUGGCUAGCUAGCUCUCUUGCUAGCUAGCUUGCUUGUGUGUGUACGUGUGAGUCCAUCCAUGGAUGGAUGGAUGUGUGUCUCCUUUUAUAGGAGAGGGUAGCUUUGCAUCUAAGCUAUGUGGAGGUAUGGGAGCAAGGCAUGGUGCAUGUCAUGCUUGUCCCCUAGGUCACUUCAUGAAUAGUGCCAGGGGACAAGUGACACUAUACAUGACGGUGUCGCGGUACGGUUGUCUUGUCCGUGGUAUGGCCGUCUCGUCGGGGUCUUGUCGAUGCCGGGUCGGACUGCAGUCGGCAGUCGGCUAGUCGGUGCAGUUGGUCAGCUGGCAGCCGGCCGGGUGGAGCAGUCGGACGGGGAGCCGGAAGGAGCGGCCGGGCAGUCGGACUGAGGGGCUUUGCUAGCCCCGAUGUCUUGAAAUAUUGUCUCGCCGUCUUCGGGAUACCCGUGUCCAAUUACUCCGACAGGUGCACGGUGUGGCUUCACC
rnacentral:lncRNA from 1 species